GAUGAACGCUGGCGGCGUGCCUAAUACAUGCAAGUCGAGCGAACGGACGAGAAGCUUGCUUCUCUGAUGUUAGCGGCGGACGGGUGAGUAACACGUGGAUAACUUACCUAUAAGACUGGGAUAACUUCGGGAAACCGGAGCUAGUACCGGAUAAUAUUUUGAACCGCAUGGUUCAAAAGUGAAAGACGGUCUUGCUGUCACUUAUAGAUGGAUCCGCGCUGCAUUAGCUAGUUGGUAAGGUAACGGCUUACCAAGGCAACGAUGCAUAGCCGACCUGAGAGGGUGAUCGGCCACACUGGAACUGAGACACGGUCCAGACUCCUACGGGAGGCAGCAGUAGGGAAUCUUCCGCAAUGGGCGAAAGCCUGACGGAGCAACGCCGCGUGAGUGAUGAAGGUCUUCGGAUCGUAAAACUCUGUUAUUAGGGAAGAACAUAUGUGUAAGUAACUGUGCACAUCUUGACGGUACCUAAUCAGAAAGCCACGGCUAACUACGUG
rnacentral:rRNA from 1 species